rnacentral:piRNA from 1 species
CUGGCAGUAGAGCCGAUAGAGGGGCACG